rnacentral:rRNA from 1 species
UACGUAGGGGGCAAGCGUUAUCCGGAUUUACUGGGUGUAAAGGGAGCGUAGACGGCUUUGCAAGCCAGAUGUGAAAGCCCGGGGCUCAACCCCGGGACUGCAUUUGGAACUGUGUGGCUAGAGUGUCGGAGAGGCAGGCGGAAUUCCUAGUGUAGCGGUGAAAUGCGUAGAUAUUAGGAGGAACACCAGUGGCGAAGGCGGCCUGCUGGACGAUGACUGACACUGAGGCUCGAAAGCGUGGGGAGCAAACAGG